UAGCAUUAUAGAGCCAAGGUUCUCAACCUUUUUCUUUCUGAGGCACCCCCAACGUGCUAUAAAAACUCCACUGCUCACCUGUGUCACAACAACUAUUUUUCUGCAUAUAAAGCCAGGGCCAACAUUAGGGGGUAGCAACCAGGGCAAUUGCCUGGGGCCCAAUGCCACAGAGACCCCAUGAAGCUACAUUGCUCAGGCUUUGGCUUCAGCCCCGGGUGGCAGGGCUCAGGGCCCCAGGCUUCAGCCCCAAGCAGUGGAGCUUUGGCUU